rnacentral:rRNA from 1 species
GAUUGCCUACGGGGGGCAGCAGUAGGGAAUUUUCGUCAAUGGGCGCAAGCCUGAACGAGCAAUGCCGCGUGAACGAGGAAGGUCUUCGGAUCGUAAAGUUCUGUUGAAGGGGAAAAAGAGCGGAGAGAGGAAAUGGUCUCCGAUUGAUAUUACCCUUCGAGGAAGUCACGGCUAACUACGUGCCAGCAGCCGCGGUAAUACGUAGGUGGCGAGCGUUGUCCGGAAUUACUGGGUGUAAAGGGAGCGCAGGCGGGCAGCCAAGUCAGCUGUGAAAACUACGGGCUUAACUUGUAGACUGCAG